AGGACGGGAGGAAAGGAGGACGUGGU
rnacentral:miRNA from 1 species